rnacentral:rRNA from 1 species
GGCGAACGCUGGCGGCGUGCUUAACACAUGCAAGUCGAACGGUAAGGCCCUUCGGGGUACACGAGUGGCGAACGGGUGAGUAACACGUGGGUGAUCUGCCCUGCACUUCGGGAUGAGCCUGGGAAACUGGGUCUAAUACCGGAUAGGACCACUGCCUGCAUGGGUGGGGGUGGAAAGCUUUUGCGGUGUGGGAUGGGCCCGCGGCCUAUCAGCGUGUUGGUGGGGUGAUGGCCUACCAAGGCGACGACGGGUAGCCGGCCUGGGAGGGUGACCGACGACCCCGGGACUGGGAUACGGCCCAGACGCCUACGGGAGGCAGCAGGGGGGACUAUUGCACAAUGGGCGCAAGCCUGAUGCAGCGACGCCGCGUGAGGGAUGUCGGCCUUCGGGUUGUAAACCUCUUUCAGCACCGACGAAGCGCAAGUGACGGUAGGUGCAGAAGAAGGACCGGCCAACUACGUGGCAGCCGCCGCGGUAA